rnacentral:sRNA from 1 species
GAAUUUGCUCUGUCUUUCUGUAGCUGCAGCAUUUGCAAGAAGAAGCAGAAUAGACACUUCAUUGUUCCAGCUUCUCGCUUCAAGCUCCUGAAGGUCAGUGCUUAAGAGCAGGGUCAAGGAGUGCAGAACCCAUUGGUGAGAUUUACAGGACCCCCCAACCAACCCUUAGCAUGCCAUCUGUAGCAUGGGAGGGGCCUGGAGCAUAGCAGGGCCUCUCACGGGCUUUGGUUUCAGGUUGACAUUUAAAAGGUGGGCCGGGCACUGUGGCUCACACCUGUAAUCCCAGCACUUUGGGAGGCCAAGAUGGGUGGAUCACCUGAAGUCAGGAGUUGAGGACCAGCCUGGCCAACAUGGUGAAACCCUAUCUCUACUAAAAAUACAAAAGUUAGCUGGGUGUUGUAGUGCAUGCCUGUAAUCCCAGCUACUUGGGAGGCCAAGGCAGGAGAAUCACUUGAACCUGGGAGAUGGAAGUUGCAGUGAGCCGAGAUCACAACAUUGCACUCCAGCCUGGGUGACAAGAGUGAAACUCCAUCUCAAAAAAAAUGAAAAUAAAAAAUAAAAGGUUGUGUUAUUUUUUACCUUUAUUUUUUGGAGGCCUGUUUGGUAUUGUGGAAACAUUUUCAAAUUCAGAGAAUCAAAAAACAAUAAAAUCACCCAAAUCCUGUCAACUAAA